GGCGUCACGCAGUCAUUUUUGACAUGGCAGGACUGCGUGAGUGAUCAAGGUGAGAGAGUGAGCAACAGGUGUAUCAAUUCUCCGGAAACUUCCCUUACAGCUUUACCAUGGGGACUCCGCCAGAGCUUGACGCAGGGUAUGAAGUCCACCGUCUCGCCACCUUCAAAUGCCUUUUCUCUGUUAGAAAGUCACGUGCGCCUUUAUAAGAUGUAGACUUUAAUGGUCAUAUAUGUCCGAAACUAGACAGAUUAUCAGUCUACAGCGGACUGUUAAAAAAAAUCCGUACGUCGCAACUGGAUACCACUUUCAACACUUAACAUUGACCUGGUUUCUUUUACUUACAACAGAGUUGAUAUUUGCUCGAUCCUGGAAACUGUAGCGGUCAUUUAAAACUGGAAAAAGUAUUUAAAGUGAAAAGCGAAACAAGAAAACUGAAGGUAUUUGUGGCGGAACGGAAUUCCUAGAGAGGUUCUCCAGCAGUCAUGCAUCGGUCCGGGCGAACAGGCGCUCCUGUGGGCCGAGCCCGAACCUGAAAGAACUGAUUUCUGGAAGGAAAUGCUGGAGUGGAGCGGACAUCAACCCUGGGCAGCUGGACUAUCGUUCUAACGAUAUUUGAUAUUACUUUGAACCGUCGCUGAUCCAGUCUUAUUGCACUGAGGAGCGGCCAUCAGUUUCAUCGUGGGGGUGUGCGGAACCAUACCGGAGCGGACUUCGCGAAGUGAUCGAGCAGAACUGCUGGACUUGUGCAAGAUGACAUUACGGCGGCCAGUGGGUCUGUUCGUCUUAUGGGUGAUGGUACCUGCUGUCUGGGGGCAAGUGUUUGUGGAGCCCCUUGCUGGCGCGACGGUGCGCACUGUGACGGAGGGUCCCACCCGGCUGCCGUGCCAGUUCCAUACGGAUGGGCAGAAGGUGGUGCAGGUCAGCUGGAGCAAAGAAGGGCCCGACGGCAGCAAGGACACCGUCAUCGCCGCCCACCACACGGACGGACACACGGAGUAUGGGUCUUACUCUGGCCGCGUCUACUUUGAGAGCAGCAACCCCAUAAUGAACUCCGCACUGAUCAUCCAUAUCACGGAUGAGUCGGACGAGGGGAAGUACACCUGCCACAUCGCCACCUUCCCAUCCGGCAGCUUCGAGGUACAGAUGUCACUUAUAGUGUGGGUCCCACCCAUCUCCAACCUGGACCCAGUAGAAAUGGUGGAGGGCCAGCCCUUCAAUGUGGCGGGCACUUGUCGCGCGGUGGGCCGCCCCAUGCCCCGACUCUCCUGGGACACGGACCUGCCCGGCCAAGCCAGUAACCGCAGCUCGGGGCCUGGGUCAGUGUCCAGCUACUUCUCCCUGCACCCUGUGCGUAGCAUGAAUGGCAAGAAACUGGACUGCCUGGUGUGGCACCCCACCCUCGACAGGCCCCGCAGGAUCCGGAACAGCCUCGUAGUGCAUUAUCCUCCCGAUGCGACCAUCAGCGGCUUCGAUGGAAAUUGGUAUGUGGGAUUGGAGCAAGUGUCCCUCCGGUGUAACAGUAGAGGGCAUCCGAAACCGCAGAGCUUUACCUGGACCAGGAAUGGCGGUUCGCUUCCAAAGGGCGUAACCAUGAGGAACGAGACUCUGCUCUUUGAUCGACCCCUAACUCUGGAGGAUGCUGGCCGGUACCACUGCAUGCCACAGAAUUCCGUGGGCACGGGGAGGGCAGAAGUUGAGGUCACCGUGUCCGAAUUUGCUCCAAAAAAAUUCGACAGCCUGCUGAUGAUCAUCGCAGGUGUGGUCAUUGGGGUGCUGGUGGUAGUUAUGGUAAUCUUGGUUAUCCUGGUGAACCUCUACCACAAGCGCAAGAACAAGAAGUUGGAGAUGGAGCUGACUGAGAGAAAGGAGGAGAUCAGCACUCUGUCCAGACAGGCCUCCUUUAGGAGAAUGCACACCAUCAGCACCGACCACCAUAUACAGGCGGAGGACUGCGUUCCUCUCAGAGUGGAAGGCACCAUCCGCAGCAGUCUGUCCUCCCUAACCCCAGAACAAGGUCGCAGCAGAGACAGCCACUCCACUCUCUCCGGUGGCCGGGGGGGUUUAGACUCCUUGGGUCGACCCGUUAUAUUCAACUCCUCACGACGUGGGGAGCGAACGAAGGAGAGAGAUUUGGAUCGGGAAGUCAGUGGAGAUGAGACUGUACUGAGGGUGAAUUCCAUAGACUCCCGCCUUCCUCCUGCCUUCCACCCCCCUCUCCUCCCCUCCCUCCCUCCGUAUGAGCGCACGGCAGACCUCAGGCUCGUUAACGGCAAGGCCGGCAUCCCUGGAUGUGACAGGGCUCAGCAUUCCCCCCUUAACUCGGCCUAUCCUCUGCUGACGGACGAGGAGGACGAGGAGGAGCAAGGCCAGGAAGAUGGAGAGAAGCACAGAGAACACUGCGAGCACAACGGCAAGACCAACAGCACCCAGAUCUCGGAAGCUUUGAAUAACAACUUUCACUACAGCAACGGAACCUUGCGGCCCAAAAUCCCAAAAUCCCACACCAACGCCAUCCUGAUCCACCCUAAGGGUCAGAUCGUGUGAGGACUCAUCCAGCUGGUUUCUGGUCUCGCUUCUACUCAAGGCUCUGCCUGCUCCGCCCCCUGGCUGUACAUCUGCGAAUGACGGAAUGACCGCUUCCGGAAGACGGUCACAUGACCCACAUUCCGAUAGAUCUCCCUUUUCUACAUCACUCGGUUAUUGUACGGUCAUAUAAAGAGUUAAGCAUGUCAGACUGAAUCAGUUUGACCUGUUUGCAGGGGUACUACACAAUUUUAAUUUUUCUUUUGAGAAUCCAAAAACAUUUAAAUUUGCUGCCACAUUAAUCUUAGAUACUGAAGAUGUAAAUAUUUUUGCCAAAAAUUACUACAUACUAUUUUUUUCCUUAGACAUUGUCCAACAAUUAGGGUGUAAGACAGUUAUGAAGUAUUAAUAUUUUAACCAUCUGUAUUAUGAAUUUUCAAUGGUCAUUGUUUAAUAGUUCUGUUAAUGGCAGUUAUGAGAGAGGGAGGACCCUGCAUUGACACUGGGUAUUACUUUUUAAUCAUGUGGAAAAAGGCCGAUGUAUAUAUAAACAGCACACCUGUAUGUUGCAGGGACAUGCAGUGUUGCUAUGGUGAAGGUAUGGAGAAAAAAAGGGACGAGAAUAUUAUAUGUUAUACUCACUGUGGUUGAAACUUCAACUGUAUAGCAAGCAUUGUAAUGGUUGACAUAAAAGUGUUUAAUUUAUAAAUCCUGAACGGAUGAAAGAAUCGGUCAGCUACAAGGGAUGCACAUGACCUACCAUCACAUUACAGCUACCACUGCGUGUGACCAGAUGGUCGAAAGACAAUGGAGAGCUGAUCGCUUCAGCUGGCCUGGGUAUGCUGCAUUUUAUAGUUUUGCGCUGGACUUCAACUGGUUUCUGAAAGGACCCUUGCCAUUCUGCAGAAACCAGUGAUUAUAGUAUUUUACAGAACUAUAUAUAAGCACCAAAGACUUUUUUUUAUAGGAUUGAUGGAAUGUUUUACAAUAUUUUAGCAAUACACCUCUGGCUCAUUUUCAUUCAUGAAAAAGACUAUAUGUACAGACAUGCCCUAUGCACUGUUCUUAUAUUGGUGCCUUUGUGAUGUUUUUUGAUACCGUAUUAAAAAUGAAAAUGGAUGGAGUUAUCUAAAAAUGCAAGGAAGAAUCUAGCAUCCCUCCACUAAAGGUUUAUGUGCUUGAAUUAAUUAUUUAGGCAAAAGUUAUCAGCCUAAGUGACUCGGGAUGAUGUAUUGGAUGUGUUUGCAUGUUCUGCCAGUGUUUCUCCCUACAGUGUAAAGACAUGCAGCUCAGUGAACUGGUGUUACUCAGUUGCCCAUAGUGUGCGAGUUGCCUGCCCUAUGAUUGACGAGUGCCUCACUAUAAAAUGUCGUCUUCCCUGUGUUUUAUAUGCUCUAGAUUCUAGGCUGACCAGGACCCCAUAUUGGAUAAACGGUUAUGGAAAAUGGAUGGAUUAUUUUUUAAAAUUAAGAAUGUGGAAUUACUCUCAAUUCGGGGCCGUUAAUCAUUCACGAGAUCUUCAUGUACAAGGUUCUGUUUCAUCACCUGACCUUAACAAAAAAAAAAAUUCUAAAUGGGAUUUUAAUUUCAGUUACAAUUAAUGGCACUGAUGGGUCUCUGCCAAACGAUCUGGUGUGAAAGUUUCUCAGGAUCCCGAUGAGUGACGAGGCCAAGCUCGUCAACUGUUCAGCAAUGGCAAAAAUAGGUGCAUGGUCUGUCUGCAGUGUGUGUCUGCUCUGGCUAUUUAACCUGAAGGCAGGUGUUUUUGGUUACAUUUGAUUUUAUAAGCUCUUUUGAUGAUUGUUCAAAAUGAACGAAAAGUAAACAAAAAAGCUCGAAUGUUUGUUAUUGAAAUAUCGCUAGUAAUUUAAAAUUUUGAUGAGGUUUUGUUUACAAGUAACAAAAACACAGAUGGAGUAUAGAUGGAUAUACUGGUAAUUAUUGCACAGAAAAGUUUCCAGAUAAUGUAAAGACACAUCGCAGUGGUUUUAAUACACUGGAAAAAGGAAACUUUCAUCUAAACCAGGUACAUUUUAUAUACCAACACUGUAAAAACAUUCCACCUCAGAAGAGGAAAUGAACCCUAAACUGUUUUGUUAAUGCUGUUACCACUGCGCGUUCAGCUACUUGCAGAUAAUUCCAAAUGCGCAACAAUUUUUGUAGGAACUGGUUUGGUUGUGGGGAUUUUCUGUGGGAACUAGUUUGGGAGGUAUAGGUACUCUGUGGAUUUAUGUGGUAUGGUCUCUAUAUCAGGACUGGUUUUGGUGCCACUGCCUCUCCUUGGGGGCUGGGUGGAACUGGAACUGGAAACGGUUUGGGAGGCACGGCAUUUUUGGAAUAAGCACUUUGAUACAAAAAUACAGCAGCAAUCCAUCUACCACACACUAUCCAGAACCCGUAUCCUUGUAUGUUCUCCCGACAAACAUACUCAAAUAAGAUUUUUAUAACGUUAACUCGGCCUGUGAAGAGAAAAUACCUUUUGUCAAAGACCUAGUCUGCCACCUAGUGGCGUGGUGGUCAUAAGGCAUUGUCCAGGCCCGCAAACGCUUCACAUGGAUUGACAUGCUUCUGCAUCUUUAUUUAUAUAAAAGAUUCCGUAAGAAGAAAAAAAAUACAGGCAAUUGUCUUAGAAGUGUUGCAAUGGAUUGCAGUUGCAGGAAGGUUUAGGAAAGAAAGAGGACCUUUGUGUGAAGCAUAUGAAAAAGAGAUCUGGUGAGAAUUUGAAUUAUAAUAAUAACCAGUCAUUUAAUGAUCGUGUCAAAAUAUACUGUAGUGGAUCAAAUCUGGAAAAGCUGAUCUUCGACAUGGGGAAAAUGCUGUGGGCUUUAGUUGUGCUCCAUUUGGCUGCAGAACCAAGGAAUGAUGUCUUUCCUUUGUCUUUCAUAUUUUAGGUGACUGCCAAUCAUUAACUCAUUAAACUGGAAAAAAAAAUUCCAGAGCAGUGACACCAAAGAGGUGGUGAAUUGAGCAAUUAAAACUGGAUGACGAGGCAAAGUAAAGCAUCACACGUUGGUGUAAGUAGCACUGGAGGAAAGGGUUCCUGGUGCUUCUGGGUGUCGGCGGUAAUGCACUGUCAGAAUACUGCGGGGCAACUCACACGUGCCUAGAAAUUAAAACCAAAACUAAGCCGGCCUCUGUUUUCGUUCUCGAUAACUGGUUGAUAGCUGUUCAUAGCUAUUGAUGGUACAAAAGAAUUUCAAUAGAGUCUACUGGUUGUUAUGAUGUUCAGCAACCUGAGCUCAGAACCUCUUCCUGUACUCAGUGUGGUCAUGUGACCAGUUCUUGCCUGGUUGAAUUUUUUUUUUACUGAGUUAAACAAAAACCUGACCACUCUUGCUAUUGCUUUUUGAACAAUAUACCUGAUUAAAAAUCUCUGUGGAGUUUG